rnacentral:rRNA from 1 species
CGCCUUAUACUCCUACGGGAGGCAGCAGUGGGGAAUUUUGGACAAUGGGCGCAAGCCUGAUCCAGCCAUGCCGCGUGAGUGAUGAAGGCCUUAGGGUUGUAAAGCUCUUUCAGUAGGGAAGAUAAUGACGGUACCUACAGAAGAAGCCCCGGCUAACUUCGUGCCAGCAGCCGCGGUAAUACGAAGGGGGCUAGCGUUGUUCGGAUUUACUGGGCGUAAAGCGCACGUAGGCGGUUUGUUAAGUCAGAGGUGAAAUCCCGGAGCUCAACUCCGGAACUGCCUUUGAUACUGGCAAGCUAGAGUCCGGAAGAGGUAAGUGGAACUCCUAGUGUAGAGGUGGAAUUCGUAGAUAUUAGGAAGAACACCAGUGGCGAAGGCGGCUUACUGGUCCGGAACUGACGCUGAGGUGCGAAAGCGUGGGGAGCAAACAGGAUUAGAUACCCCAGUAGUCCACGUACCA